rnacentral:rRNA from 1 species
GAUGAACGCUGGCGGCGUGCCUAACACAUGCAAGUCGAGCGAUUUACUUCGGUAAAGAGCGGCGGACGGGUGAGUAACGCGUGGGUAACCUGCCCUGUACACACGGAUAACAUACCGAAAGGUAUGCUAAUACGAGAUAAUAUACUUUUAUCGCAUGGUAGAAGUAUCAAAGCUUUUGCGGUACAGGAUGGACCCGCGUCUGAUUAGCUAGUUGGUAAGGUAACGGCUUACCAAGGCGACGAUCAGUAGCCGACCUGAGAGGGUGAUCGGCCAAAUUGGAACUGGGACACGGUCCAAACUCCUACGGGAGGCAGCAGUGGGGAAUAUUGCACAAUGGGCGAAAGCCUGACGCAGCAACGCCGCGUGAGCGAUGAAGGCCUUCGGGUCGUAAAGCUCUGUCCUCAAGGAAGAUAAUGACGGUACUUGAGGAGGAAGCCCCGGCUAACUACGUGCCAGCCGCCGCCGUAA